CUUUUCAGCGUGACGAGCAAGGACGGUAGCGCAGGAACAAGUCUCGGCUAACUACGUGCCAGCAGCCGUGGUAAAACGUAGGAGGCAAGCGUUAUCCGGAGUUACUGGGCGUAAAUGCGCGUGUAGGCGGUUCGGCAGGUCUGAUGUGAAAGCUCCCAGGCUAAACCGGGAGAGGUCAUUGGAAACCGCCGAGCUAGAGGACGGCAGAGGGGCAUGGAAUUCCGGGUGUAGUGGUGACAUGCGUAGAGAUCCGGAGGAACACCAGUGGCGAAGGCGGUGCCCUGGGCCGACCCUGACGCUGAGACGCGAAAGCAUGGGGAGCGAACGGGAUUAGAAACCCCGGUAGUCCAUGCCGUAAACGAUGCACACUGGGUGUUCGUAGCGGGAAACCGCUGGGAGUGCCGAAGCCAACGCGGUAAGUGUGCCGCCUGGGGAGUACGGUCGCAAGGCUAAAACUCAAAGGAAUUGACGGGGGCCCGCACAAGCACCGGAGCGUGUGGUUUAAUUCGAAGCUACGCGAAGAACCUUACCCGGGUUUGACAUCCCGUGAACGACCGCGAAAGCGGAAGGGUCCUUCGGGACACGGUGACAGGUGCAGCAUGGCUGUCGUCAGCUCGUGCCGUGAGGUGUUCGGUUAAGUCCGCAAACGAGCGCAACCCCUGGGGUUAGUUACAAGUGUCUAGCCCGACUGCCCGUCGAGAAACGGGAGGAAGGUGGGGAUGACGUCAAGUCAG
rnacentral:rRNA from 1 species